UCCGGUUGAUCCCGCCGGACCUGACUGCUAUCGGAUUGGUACUAAGCCAUGCGAGUCAUUGUAGCAAUACAAGGCGGACGGCUCAGUAACACGUAGUCAACCUAACUCGUGGACGUGGAUAACCUCGGGAAACUGAGAAUAAACCACGAUAGAUCAUAGUGCCUGGAAUGGCUUAUGGUCCAAACAGUUUACUGCCAUGGGAUGGGACUGCGGCCUAUCAGCUUGUUGGUGAGGUAAUGGCCCACCAAGGCGAUUACAGGUACGGGCUCUGAGAGGAGUAGCCCGGAGAUGGGUACUGAGACACGGACCCAGGCCCUAUGGGGCGCAGCAGGCGAGAAACCUUAGCAAUGUGCGAAAGCACGACUGGGUCAGUCCGAGUGAUUCCUGAUAAAGGAGUCUUUUGCCUGUCCUAAAAGCACAGGUGAAUAAGGGGUGGGCAAGUCUGGUGUCAGCCGCCGCGGUAAUACCAGCACCUCGAGUGGUCAGGACGUUUAUUGGGUCUAAAGCAUCCGUAGCCGGCUCUGCAAGUCUUCGGUUAAAUCCACCUGCUCAACAGAUGGGCCGCUGGAGAUACUACAGAGCUAGGGAGUGGGAGAGGCAGACGGUAUUCAGUGGGUAGGGGUAAAAUCCUCUGAUCCAUUGAGGACCACCAGUGGCGAANGCGGUCUGCCAGAACACGUUCGACGGUGAGGGAUGAAAGCUGGGGGAGCAAACCGGAUUAGAUACCCGGGUAGUCCCAGCUGUAAACGAUGCAACUCGGUGAUGCAUUGGCUUAUGGCCAAUGCAGUGCCGCAGGGAAGCCGUUAAGUUUGCCGCCUGGGAAGUACGGACGCAAGUCUGAACUUAAAGGAAUUGGCGGGGGAGCA
rnacentral:rRNA from 1 species